GAUGAACGCUGGCGGCGUGCCUAAUACAUGCAAGUCGAGCGAACAGAUGAGGAGCUUGCUCCUCUGACGUUAGCGGCGGACGGGUGAGUAACACGUGGAUAACCUACCUAUAAGACUGGGAUAACUUCGGGAAACCGGAGCUAAUACCGGAUAAUAUAUUGAACCGCAUGGUUCAAUAGUGAAAGACGGUUUUGCUGUCACUUAUAGAUGGAUCCGCGCCGCAUUAGCUAGUUGGUAAGGUAACGGCUUACCAAGGCAACGAUGCGUAGCCGACCUGAGAGGGUGAUCGGCCACACUGGAACUGAGACACGGUCCAGACUCCUACGGGAGGCAGCAGUAGGGAAUCUUCCGCAAUGGGCGAAAGCUUGACGGAGCAACGCCGCGUGAGUGAUGAAGGUCAUCGGAUCGUAAAACUCUGUUAUUAGGGAAGAACAAAUGUGUAAGUAACUAUGCACGUCUUGACGGUACCUAAUCAGAAAGCCACGGCUAACUACGUG
rnacentral:rRNA from 1 species